AAUAAAUCAAUUUUUCACUUUUUACCUUUAAUUUUUGACUCUUCGUCUUAUUUGAUUUUUAUGCGAUUGAUAUUUUUGUUUUUAUUAGAUGAUAAAUCAUAAAUAGUAUUUUACGUGUGACUAAUUUUUUCUAAUUUCCUGAAAUUUUUUAAAUAAGACGGAUGGUCAAACGUUGGACACGGAAACCGGAGAAUUCGUUUUUU
rnacentral:pre_miRNA from 1 species